rnacentral:rRNA from 1 species
CCUACGGGAGGCUGCAGUGAGGAAUAUUGGUCAAUGGGCGCGAGCCUGAACCAGCCAAGUAGCGUGAAGGAUGACUGCCCUACGGGUUGUAAACUUCUUUUAUAAAGGAAUAAAGUGAGGCACGUAUGCCUUUUUGUAUGUACUUUAUGAAUAAGGAUCGGCUAAAUACGUGCCAGCAGCCGCGGUAAUACGGAGGAUCCGAGCGUUAUCCGGAUUUAUUGGGUUUAAAGGGAGCGUAGAUGGGUUGUUAAGUCAGUUGUGAAAGUUUGCGGCUCAACCGUAAAAUGGCAAUUGAUACUGGCAGUCUUGAGUGCAGAUGAGGUAGGCGGAAUUCGAGGUGUAGCGGUGAAAUGCUUAGAUAUCACGAAGAACUCCGGUUGCGAAGGCAGCUUACUAAACUGCCACUGACAUUGAGGCUCGAAAGUGUGGGUAGCAAACAGGAUUAGAUACCCUUGUAGUC